GGAUUAGAUACCCUGGUAGUCCACGCCGUAAACGAUGCACACUAGGUCGAUGGCGCUUCGACGCGUUGUCGGCCGGAGAGAAAUUAUUAAGUGUGCCGCCUGGGGAGUACGGUCGCAAGGCUAAAACUCAAAGGAAUUGACGGGGGCUCACACAAGCGGUGGAGCAUGUUGCUUAAUUCGAAACAACGCGAAGAACCUUACCUGGGCUUGACAUGCACGGAUUAGCUCUUGGAAACAUGAGUGACGCCCUCGGGUGGAACGUGCACAGGUGCUGCAUGGCUGUCGUCAGCUCGUGUUG
rnacentral:rRNA from 1 species